AACGGGGCGGCGGAGGCGGCAGCGGCUGGCGGCUCAGCCCUGAGUGCAAGUAACAGGAUCACCAUGAUUCUUCAGAGACUCUUCAGGUUGUCCUCUCUUGUUCAGUCUGCAAUCUCAGUCUCUCUGAGGAGGAACAUUGGUGUCACAGCAGUGGCGUUUAAUAAGGAGCUUGAUCCUGUGCAGAAACUCUUCGUGGACAAGAUUAGAGAAUAUAGAACUAAGCGCCAGACAUUUGGAGGACCUGUUGAUGCUGGCCCAGAGUAUCAGCAAGACCUAGACCGGGAGCUUUUUAAGCUUAAACAAAUGUGUGGUAAAGCAGACAUGAAUACAUUCCCUAACUUCACGUUUGAAGACCCCAAGUUCAAAGUUGUUGAGAAACCACAGUCUUGAAGAAGUAAUGUAAAAUUGAUCUGGUAAUUUGUCCUAGUUGAGUUGUACAGCUACCCAGAAGUAACAGAAUAAACACACAUUUCACAGCUGUCAAAUGUUCUUUUAAUUCUGAUUUCAAAUAAAUUAUUUGGUGAUGUUAGGUAUA